rnacentral:rRNA from 1 species
UACGAAGGGGCUAGCGUUGCUCGGAAUCACUGGGCGUAAAGCGCACGUAGGCGGAUCUUUAAGUCAGGGGUGAAAUCCUGGAGCUCAACUCCAGAACUGCCUUGAUACUGGGGAUCUCGAGUCCGGAAGAGGUGAGUGGAACUCCGAGUGUAGAGGUGAAAUUCGUAGAUAUUCGGAAGAACACCAGUGGCGAAGGCGGCU